UGAGUAACCUGCCCUUAACUCUGGGAUAAGCCUGGGGAACUGGGUCUAAUACCGGAUAUGACUCCUCAUCGCAUGGUGGGGGGUGGAAAGCUUUAUUGUGGUUUUGGAUGGACUCGCGGCCUAUCAGCUUGUUGGUGAGGUAAUGGCUCACCAAGGCGACGACGGGUAGCCGGCCUGAGAGGGUGACCCGGCCACACUGGGACUGAGACACGGCCCAGACUCCGUACGGGGAGCAG
rnacentral:rRNA from 1 species